rnacentral:rRNA from 1 species
UACGGAGGGUGCGAGCGUUGUCCGGAAUCACUGGGCGUAAAGGGUGCGUAGGCGGGUCUUUAAGUCAGGGGUGAAAUCCUGGAGCUCAACUCCAGAACUGCCUUUGAUACUGAGGAUCUUGAGUUCGGGAGAGGUGAGUGGAACUGCGAGUGUAGAGGUGAAAUUCGUAGAUAUUCGCAAGAACACCAGUGGCGAAGGCGGCUCACUGGCCCGAUACUGACGCUGAGGCACGAAAAGCGUGGGGGAGCAAACAGG